ensembl:sRNA
GUAUACACGUGUGUACACGCAUGUAUGCAUGUAUAUACACUUACAUGUAUGCAUAUGUAUAUUUGUACACAUACAUGUACACACAUGCAGGCAUGUAUAUGCACAUGCAUGUAUACAUGUGUGCACGCAUGUGUGCAUGCAUAUGUGCAUGCAUGUAUAC